UACGAAGGGGGCUAGCGUUGUUCGGAAUUACUGGGCGUAAAGCGCACGUAGGCAGAUAUUUAAGUCAGGGGUGAAAUCCCAGAGCUCAACUCUGGAACUGCCUUUGAUACUGGGUAUCUUGAGUAUGGAAGAGGUAAGUGGAAUUGCGAGUGUAGAGGUGAAAUUCGUAGAUAUUCGCAGGAACACCAGUGGCGAAGGCGGCUUACUGGUCCAUAACUGACGCUGAGGUGCGAAAGCGUGGGGAGCAAACAGG
rnacentral:rRNA from 1 species